ACGAACGCUGGCGGCGUGCUUAACACAUGCAAGUCGAACGGAAAGGCCCCUUUGGGGGUCCUCGAGUGGCGAACGGGUGAGUAACACGUGAGUAACCUGCCCUUGACUUCGGGAUAACUUCAGGAAACUGGGGCUAAUACCGGAUAGGAAUCCUUGCUGCAUGGUGGGGGUUGGAAAGCUUCGGCGGUUUUGGAUGGACUCGCGGCUUAUCAGCUUGUUGGUGGGGUAGUGGCUUACCAAGGCUUUGACGGGUAGCCGGCCUGAGAGGGCGACCGGCCACAUUGGGACUGAGAUACGGCCCAGACUCCUACGGGAGGCAGCAGUGGGGAAUAUUGCACAAUGGGCGGAAGCCUGAUGCAGCAACGCCGCGUGCGGGAGGACGGCCUUCGGGUUGUAAACCGCUUUCAGCAGGGGCGAAGCUUGUGGUGACGGUACCUGCAGAAGAAGCACCGGCUAACUACGUG
rnacentral:rRNA from 1 species